GCCGGUGACACGGGGUGCCGACAGGCUGAGAACACACCCGUUGAACCUGAUCUAGUCAGCACUAGCGAAGGGAUGUCCGGCAUGAGUGAG
rnacentral:ncRNA from 2 species